GGUGCGGUGGCGAAGUGGUAACGCUGGAGUCUGCAAAACUCCCAUGCGCGGGUUCAAUUCCCGCCCGCACCU
rfam:Candidatus Roizmanbacteria bacterium RIFCSPLOWO2_01_FTLL_45_11 rifcsplowo2_01_scaffold_26340, whole genome shotgun sequence.